GCCGGGUUGGCGGAAUGGUAGACGCGGCGCACUCAAAAUGCGCUGUCCUUUGGGCGUGCGGGUUCGAGUCCCGCACCCGGUA
rnacentral:tRNA from 1 species